rnacentral:rRNA from 1 species
CCAUCAGAUGUGCCCAGAUGGGAUUAGCUUGUUGGUGAGGUAACGGCUCACCAAGGCGACGAUCCCUAGCUGGUCUGAGAGGAUGACCAGCCACACUGGAACUGAGACACGGUCCAGACUCCUACGGGAGGCAGCAGUGGGGAAUAUUGCACAAUGGGCGCAAGCCUGAUGCAGCCAUGCCGCGUGUAUGAAGAAGGCCUUCGGGUUGUAAAGUACUUUCAGCGGGGAGGAAGGGAGUAAGGUUAAUAACCUUAUUCAUUGACGUUACCCGCAGAAGAAGCACCGGCUAACUCCGUGCCAGCAGCCGCGGUAAUACGGAGGGUGCAAGCGUUAAUCGGAAUUACUGGGCGUAAAGCGCACGCAGGCGGUCUGUCAAGUCGGAUGUGAAAUCCCCGGGCUCAACCUGGGAACUGCAUUCGAAACUGGCAGGCUUGAGUCUUGUAGAGGGGGGUAGAAUUCCAGGUGUAGCGGUGAAAUGCGUAGAGAUCUGGAGGAAUACCGGUGGC